GAUGGACAUUGCAAAGAGUGGCGAACGGGUGAGUAACACGUGGGAAACCUACCUCUUUUGGAGCAGGGGAUAACAUUUGGAAACAGAUGCUAAUACCGUAUAACAAUAGCAACCGCAUGGUUGCUACUUAAAAGAUGGUUCUGCUAUCACUAAGAGAUGGUCCCGCGGUGCAUUAGUUAGUUGGUGAGGUAAUGGCUCACCAAGACGAUGAUGCAUAGCCGAGUUGAGAGACUGAUCGGCCACAAUGGGACUGAGACACGGCCCAUACUCCUACGGGAGGCAGCAGUAGGGAAUCUUCCACAAUGGGCGAAAGCCUGAUGGAGCAACGCCGCGUGUGUGAUGAAGGGUUUCGGCUCGUAAAACACUGUUGUAAGAGAAGAAUGACAUUGAGAGUAACUGUUCAAUGUGUGACGGUAUCUUACCAGAAAGGAACGGCUAAAUACGUGCCAGCAGCCGCGGUAAUACGUAUGUUCCAAGCGUUAUCCGGAUUUAUUGGGCGUAAAGCGAGCGCAGACGGUUAUUUAAGUCUGAAGUGAAAGCCCUCAGCUCAACUGAGGAAUUGCUUUGGAAACUGGAUGACUUGAGUGCAGUAGAGGAAAGUGGAACUCCAUGUGUAGCGGUGAAAUGCGUAGAUAUAUGGAAGAACACCAGUGGCGAAGGCGGCUUUCUGGACUGUAACUGACGUUGAGGCUCGAAAGUGUGGGUAGCAAACAGGAUUAGAUACCCUGGUAGUCCACACCGUAAACGAUGAGUGCUAGGUGUUUGAGGGUUUCCGCCCUUAAGUGCCGCAGCUAACGCAUUAAGCACUCCGCCCGGGGAGUACGACCGCAAGGUUGAAACUCAAAGGAAUUGACGGGGACCCGCACAAGCGGUGGAGCAUGUGGUUUAAUUCGAAGCAACGCGAAAAACCUUACCAGGUCUUGACAUCCCUUGACAACUCCCGAAGAUGGAACGUUCCCUUCGGGGAACAAGGUGAACAGGUGGUGCAAGGGUUGUCCUCAACCUCCGGUCCUGAGAAUGUGGGGUUAAUUCCCGCCACCAACGCCCACCCCUUUUAAAAAAUUUUCCCCCAUUUUUUUUUUGGGCCCCUUUUGAAAAAAGCCCCGGGAACAAACCCCAAAAAAAAGGGGGGGGAAAGCUCCAAAUUUUUCUCCC
rnacentral:rRNA from 1 species